CUAGAACGAAAGGGCCUGUACACUGAUUUGCUGUGUCCUAAUCACCCAGCUUAUCUAUGGUGGAGAGAAACAGUGUUACAUAAGAGUUGAGGAGGAAAUGGUGCAUGACCGCGAUUUGGAGUGGAGAGUCCUGAAAUUCAGGGAGUAGAAUAAUAGGCAUUGUAUUACUUUACAAGCAAUGGAUUAUCCAAUGUUUACAAACAAAGCAGAACCUAAAACUGUGUACCUAUGAUACUC